rnacentral:rRNA from 1 species
AUGAUGUGGUUUAAUUCGAUGCAACGCGAAAACCUUACCACCUUUGACAUGUACGGAAUCCUUUAGAGAUAGAGGAGUGCUCGAAAGAGAGCCGUAACACAGGUGCUGCAUGGCUGUCGUCAGCUCGUGUCGUGAGAUGUUGGGUUAAGUCCCGCAACGAGCGCAACCCUUGUCAUUAGUUGCUACAUUCAGUUGGGCACUCUAAUGAGACUGCCGGUGACAAACCGGAGGAAGGUGGGGAUGACGUCAAGUCCUCAUGGCCCUUAUAGGUGGGGCUACACACGUCAUACAAUGGAUGGUACAAAGGGUCGCCAACCCGCGAGGGGGAGCCAAUCCCAUAAAGCCAUUCGUAGUCCGGAUCGCAGUCUGCAACUCGACUGCGUGAAGUCGGAAUCGCUAGUAAUCGUGGAUCAGAAUGUCACGGUGAAUACGUUCCCGGGUCUU